UGACAAGGUUCAAAGAAAGGGUAG
rnacentral:snRNA from 1 species